UGAUGCUCCGGCACUGUCUGCCAGCCAGACGAUGCUGAACAGAGGCGAUGUGAGGCCACCAGUUUCUCAUUACUGUAGAUCCGCAACUCGUCAUCCAGCGAUAUUCGUAUCGAUACCGGCUGACCACACAGCGCUUCGGGAACGCUGUAACGAUUACCACCAACCUCGAUAUAGCUGUCCCAGGACACAUGGCGGAUAUCGAAGUAACUGGUAUCGAAGUCUGUAUCCGGUAACGGCUGCAGAUGUUCCUGCUCCAGCGCGAAGCGCUGUUCCGGCGUUUCUUUGAACUGGCGAAGCUCCCGUUUGUCAGCCACAUCGGCUAUCCAUUGCUCCAGUUGUUGAUUGACAUGAGUGAAGCUGUCGAACCUGCGGUACCGGACGAAGAAGUUCUCCUUGAGGUAUUUCACCAUCCGCUCAACCUUACCUUUUGUUCUGGCCCUGCGUGGACGGCAUGCCCGUGGCAGGAAGUUAUAGUGGUCAGCCAGCAACAGGAAUCCGGAGUUGAACACGACUUUCCCGUUGUUAUUCUUCAGCACCGCAGCCUUCUGGUUAUCAACCAGCACCGUUUUCACACAACCACCGAAGUAGCGGAAGGCGCGAACCAGUGAUUCGUAGGUAUGCUCAGCAUCCUGUUUUGGUGCGGCGAAGACAUGGAAGCUGCGGGAGAACCCCAGCGUAUUAACCGCAAAGUUAACUUUGCACCGUUGCCCGGCAACCUCCACCUCAACUUCGCCCCAGUCAUGCUGGAGCUGGUAUCCAGGCUGAGUUUCGAAGCGAACUGUUCUUUUUGACGGACGCAUUUUACGUUUGGGCUGGAUGUAGUAACGCAGCAUGGAACGUCCGCCCGUAUAACCCAUUGCCUUAAUCUCCGCGAAGAUAACCUCGCUAUUCCAGACAUUCUCUGCCAGGCGCAUGUCGAUGUAAUCCAUAAACGGUUUCAGCUUAACCAUUUUGUGGCGGGUCUUUCUGGCUGGCGGUUCAGGGUAUUUGAGGUAGCGUCUGACCGUCCGUUNGAAAGGCCAAUCAAACCGGGAGAUAGCUGGUUCUCCCCGAAAGCUAUUUAGGUAGCGCCUCGUGAAUUCAUCUCCGGGGGUAGAGCACUGUUUCGGCAAGGGGGUCAUCCCGACUUACCAACCCGAUGCAAACUGCGAAUACCGGAGAAUGUUAUCACGGGAGACACACGGCGGGUGCUAACGUCCGUCGUGAAGAGGGAAACAACCCAGACCGCCAGCUAAGGUCCCAAAGUCAUGGUUAAGUGGGAAACGAUGUGGGAAGGCCCAGACAGCCAGGAUGUUGGCUUAGAAGCAGCCAUCAUUUAAAGAAAGCGUAAUAGCUCACUGGUCGAGUCGGCCUGCGCGGAAGAUGUAACGGGGCUAAACCAUGCACCGAAGCUGCGGCAGCGACGCUUAUGCGUUGUUGGGUAGGGGAGCGUUCUGUAAGCCUGCGAAGGUGUGCUGUGAGGCAUGCUGGAGGUAUCAGAAGUGCGAAUGCUGACAUAAGUAACGAUAAAGCGGGUGAAAAGCCCGCUCGCCGGAAGACCAAGGGUUCCUGUCCAACGUUAAUCGGGGCAGGGUGAGUCGACCCCUAAGGCGAGGCCGAAAGGCGUAGUCGAUGGGAAACAGGUUAAUAUUCCUGUACUUGGUGUUACUGCGAAGGGGGGACGGAGAAGGCUAUGUUGGCCGGGCGACGGUUGUCCCGGUUUAAGCGUGUAGGCUGGUUUUCCAGGCAAAUCCGGAAAAUCAAGGCUGAGGCGUGAUGACGAGGCACUACGGUGCUGAAGCAACAAAUGCCCUGCUUCCAGGAAAAGCCUCUAAGCAUCAGGUAACAUCAAAUCGUACCCCAAACCGACACAGGUGGUCAGGUAGAGAAUACCAAGGCGCUUGAGAGAACUCGGGUGAAGGAACUAGGCAAAAUGGUGCCGUAACUUCGGGAGAAGGCACGCUGAUAUGUAGGUGAAGUCCCUUGCGGAUGGAGCUGAAAUCAGUCGAAGAUACCAGCUGGCUGCAACUGUUUAUUAAAAACACAGCACUGUGCAAACACGAAAGUGGACGUAUACGGUGUGACGCCUGCCCGGUGCCGGAAGGUUAAUUGAUGGGGUCAGCGCAAGCGAAGCUCUUGAUCGAAGCCCCGGUAAACGGCGGCCGUAACUAUAACGGUCCUAAGGUAGCGAAAUUCCUUGUCGGGUAAGUUCCGACCUGCACGAAUGGCGUAAUGAUGGCCAGGCUGUCUCCACCCGAGACUCAGUGAAAUUGAACUCGCUGUGAAGAUGCAGUGUACCCGCGGCAAGACGGAAAGACCCCGUGAACCUUUACUAUAGCUUGACACUGAACAUUGAGCCUUGAUGUGUAGGAUAGGUGGGAGGCUUUGAAGUGUGGACGCCAGUCUGCAUGGAGCCGGCCUUGAAAUACCACCCUUUAAUGUUUGAUGUUCUAACGUGGACCCGUGAUCCGGGUUGCGGACAGUGUCUGGUGGGUAGUUUGACUGGGGCGGUCUCCUCCUAAAGAGUAACGGAGGAGCACGAAGGUUGGCUAAUCCUGGUCGGACAUCAGGAGGUUAGUGCAAUGGCAUAAGCCAGCUUGACUGCGAGCGUGACGGCGCGAGCAGGUGCGAAAGCAGGUCAUAGUGAUCCGGUGGUUCUGAAUGGAAGGGCCAUCGCUCAACGGAUAAAAGGUACUCCGGGGAUAACAGGCUGAUACCGCCCAAGAGUUCAUAUCGACGGCGGUGUUUGGCACCUCGAUGUCGGCUCAUCACAUCCUGGGGCUGAAGUAGGUCCCAAGGGUAUGGCUGUUCGCCAUUUAAAGUGGUACGCGAGCUGGGUUUAGAACGUCGUGAGACAGUUCGGUCCCUAUCUGCCGUGGGCGCUGGAGAACUGAGGGGGGCUGCUCCUAGUACGAGAGGACCGGAGUGGACGCAUCACUGGUGUUCGGGUUGUCAUGCCAAUGGCACUGCCCGGUAGCUAAAUGCGGAAGAGAUAAGUGCUGAAAGCAUCUAAGCACGAAACUUGCCCCGAGAUGAGUUCUCCCUGACCCUUUAAGGGUCCUGAAGGAACGUUGAAGACGACGACGUUGAUAGGCCGGGUGUGUAAGCGCAGCGAUGCGUUGAGCUAACCGGUACUAAUGAACCGUGAGGCUUAACCUU
rnacentral:rRNA from 1 species